AAUAAUGUACAUAUUUACCAAUUCUAAAAAGUUAUGUCUUUUCAUGGACGACACAAUUUUGAAUUUACACACUAACAUAUGAACAAUGUUUGUAUCCUGCGGGUGGAGGAUGAGGUUCAUCUUCCGCACUGACGUGGCCCAAUGACACGAUGACAGGUGUCAAAAAAAUAAUAAUAAGUAAUGCCUAUUUUCUCCGGGUUAAACCCAUUUCAACCAUCUCCAGCCUCGAGGCGAGAUUAAUCGACGAUCAAAAGCAAGCGGCGAUGGAGAUCAGGCUCCUCGCCAAGAACAAGUCAGAGAAUUGAAUCAAGAUCACUCGCGCCGGCGCGAUCAAGCCGUUGAUUUCGCUGAUCUUGUCGUCCGAUCCUCAGCUUCAAGAGUACGGCGUCACCACAAUUCUAAACCUAUCUCUCUACGACGAGAACAAGGAGUUGAUAGCUUCAUCGGGAGCGAUCAAACCACUGGUCAGAGCUCUUAAGGUCGGCACAUCAACGGCGAGAGAGAACGCUGCGUUUGCCCAUCUCAUCAAGGUCGGCACAUCAACUGAACACCAGUUGGAUCGGAGAUCGUAAGGGUUAGGGUUUGACCACCGAGACUGGGAUCGGGAGUGGGACGGCGACGGAGAGGGAGGUUGUGAUUUUUUGCGGCGGUGGCAGUUUCAAUAACGGUGGAGGUCAUUGCCUCAAUUGCGAGCAGUAUUUGAUGUUCAGGCAUCAUGGAGGUAGACAUGGAAAAUUCUGUCUCAACCUCACCUGAAGAGCCUGCAGUCGCAGCCACUAAUGGGCAAUUGAUCCAAUUUCACCACUACCCGAUCCAAUGUAAGAUCGCGUGAAUGAAAAUGGAUGGGUUGUGGGAGAAAAAAACAAAUAGAUGUAUGGGUUGUGACAGAGGAAUUGAUGAGAGGUAGAAGCAUGAUCGGCCAACGGCGAGGAGGACUCGAGCUCUGACGUGAUAGCAGAUUGGGUGUCACGGUCGGAGAGUUUACCUUCGGUUGGGUCUGUUAUGAAAUUUAGGAAAGAGAGAGAAGAGAGUAAGAAACGGGUUUAACCUGGAUAAAAUGGGCAUUGCCCAUAUUUUAUUAUUAUUUUUAUUUUGGACACUUGUCAUCGUGUCAUUGGGCCACGUCAGCGCGGAGGAUGAACCUCAUCCUCCGCCCACCUGUGUAUCACAUAAGAUCAUCAAAGCUCUAAUUUUAAGCA